rnacentral:rRNA from 2 species
UCUAAGUNUGAUGUGAAAGCCUUCGGCUUAACCGGAGAAGUGCAUCGGAAACUGGAUAACUUGAGUGCAGAAGAGGGUAGUGGAACUCCAUGUGUAGCGGUGGAAUGCGUAGAUAUAUGGAAGAACACCAGUGGCGAAGGCGGCUACCUGGUCUGCAACUGACGCUGAGACUCGAAAGCAUGGGUAGCGAACAGGAUUAGAUACCCUGGUAGUCCAUGCCGUAAACGAUGAGUGCUAGGUGUUGGAGGGUUUCCGCCCUUCAGUGCCGGAGCUAACGCAUUAAGCACUCCGCCUGGGGAGUACGACCGCAAGGUUGAAACUCAAAGGAAUUGACGGGGGCCCGCACAAGCGGUGGAGCAUGUGGUUUAAUUCGAAGCUACGCGAAGAACCUUACCAGGUCUUGACAUCUUGCGCCAACCCUAGAGAUAGGGCGUUUCCUUCGGGAACGCAAUGACAGGUGGUGCAUGGUCGUCGUCAGCUCGUGUCGUGAGAUGUUGGGUUAAGUCCCGCAACGAGCGCAACCCUUGUUACUAGUUGCCAGCAUUAAGUUGGGCACUCUAGUGAGACUGCCGGUGACAAACCGGAGGAAGGUGGGGACGACGUCAGAUCAUCAUGCCCCUUAUGACCUGGGCUACACACGUGCUACAAUGGACGGUACAACGAGUCGCGAACUCGCGAGGGCAAGCAAAUCUCUUAAAACCGUUCUCAGUUCGGACUGCAGGCUGCAACUCGCCUGCACGAAGUCGGAAUCGCUAGUAAUCG